UAAACAAGUUUUAAAUUUUGAGCACAGGAAGGAAUAUAUUGGUUCUACUAUAGGGUGACCUAUUUUUUGUCUAUUUGUAAAAAACUUUUCAAACAACAACCUUGCUUCAAUCGAAAAAAUUCCAAGAGAGUUUUUUUGUAUUUCAAAUUAAGUUUUUCUUGAUUUUUAUCAUUUUUCUUGAUUUCCUUAUAGUUUUACAAAGUAAUUGG